CCUACGGGUGGCUGCAGUGGGGAAUAUUGGACAAUUGGGGCAACCCUGAUCCAGCCAUGCCGCGUGUGUGAAGAAGGCCCUCGGGUUGUAAAGCACUUUCAGUGAGGAAGAACGCCUGGUGGUUAAUACCCAUCAGGAAAGACAUCACUCACAGAAGAAGCACCGGCUAACUCCGUGCCAGCAGCCGCGGUAAUACGGAGGGUGCGAGCGUUAAUCGGAAUUACUGGGCGUAAAGCGCGCGUAGGUGGCUUGAUAAGCCGGUUGUGAAAGCCCCGGGCUCAACCUGGGAACGGCAUCCGGAACUGUCAAGCUAGAGUGCAGGAGAGGAAGGUAGAAUUCCCGGUGUAGCGGUGAAAUGCGUAGAGAUCGGGAGGAAUACCAGUGGCGAAGGCGGCCUUCUGGACUGACACUGACACUGAGGUGCGAAAGCGUGGGUAGCAAACAGGAUUAGAUACCCCAGUAGUC
rnacentral:rRNA from 1 species